AAACUCAUCCAGCGUAGGGUUGUUCUGUCGUCUGCAUGGACGUGCGGGCCGAGUCACCAAGGCAGCCUCUCCCUCCCUCCCUCCCUCUCUCUCUCUCUCUCUCCACCAGUCUCCGUAGAGACCCGGAGGCGGAGCUGCAGAGCAGAGCUCGGGGCACAAGAGGAGCUGCGCGGGCGGGUCCACCUGCGGCCCUCAGCCCUCCUGCCGGCAGGAGGCUGAGCUCGGCGAGCGCCGCACGGAACCCUGACGACAGUUUGAAUUUACAAAAUUUAAUGCAUUCGGCUGGAUCCUGGAAGAGGGCAGACGCUUCUACUGAACUCAGUGCACCGCAUCCUGCACUGCCCCCCCCCCUCCCGCAGGGGGCGCCCGAGUCCCCACUCGCCCACCCGACUGGGGCAUGCGCGCUCAGCCGGCCUUACCUCUGCCGCGCUCAGCCGGGCGGCACAGCCUCUUCAGGACCCGCUGUGAGGCCUCAGGAGGAUGUUUGUCCACGCCCACGCUGACAGGACCCGCUGAGGAGGACGUGGGUCCGGGUCCACACCGACAGGACCCGCUGAGGAGGACGUGGGUCCGCGUCCACACCGACAGGACCCGCUGAGGAGGACGUGGGUCCGGGUCCACACCGACAGGACCCGCUGAGGAGGACGUGGGUCCGCGUCCACACCGACAGGACCCGCUGAGGAGGACGUGGGUCCGGGUCCACACCGACAGGACCCGCUGAGGAGGACGUGGGUCCGCGUCCACACCGACAGGACCCGCUGAGGAGGACGUGGGUCCGCGUCCACACCGACAGGACCCGCUCUGGAGGACGUGGGUCCGCGUCCACACCGACAGGACCCGCUGCGGAGGAUGUGGGGCCGUAUCCACGCUGACAGGAGCCCGUCCUGCUCAGGACUCGCUGUGGAGGCUUCUAGAGGACACGGGGCGGUGUCCGCACGGACAGGAGCCCGGCCUCCUCAGGACCCGCUCUGGAGGACGUGGGGUCGCGUCCACACUGACAGGAGCCCGGCCUCCUCAGGCCCCGCCGCGGGAGGACAAGGUGAGGAGAAGCCGUCUGAGCGGGGACCGCGGAGGGGGCCCGAGCUCACAGGACGCAGCGGAGGAAGGGCGGGUGCGCAGACCGUGGGGUGUCCGUGGCUCUGUGUGCGGUGACGUGGGGUCCCCGCGGUGCCGUGCGCGGGGCUGUCGGGGCUCCGCUCUCCGGCCUCGGAUCCGCUCCGGCGGCCCCCGCGUCCGUGUCCACGCGCACCCGGAGUCGGUUCCUGGGGCUGCUCCCGCGGUCUGCGGUCCGGGCCGGCCGCCCGCCGCUGUGCUCCGGCUCCCCCGCCUCGGCCCCGCGGCUCCUCCCCGCGUCCACACCCGCGUCAGGGCUGUGGGUUCCGUGUCUGCGAAGACCCCGCUGGAGGCCCGUAGCGGCGGCGCGGACUCUGCGGACGGCGGGGGGAGAGUAGACAUGUCCGCAGCGUCCGCUCUGCCCUGAGCGCAGGGCGUCUUCCCGGCGUGUCUCCCUCGACGUCCGCGUCCGUGUCUCACGGGGUCGGAGAGCAGGUGUGUCGGCUCCUGGGGACGUGUGCUCCUCGGUGUGUGGUUCUUCUCGAUGCGGCUGUGAAGGAGCCUGUGCUCCGCGGGUCUCGUCCUGACGGUGUGUGAGGAGCGCCUGGAAGUGCACCGGAUUUUUGUCUCUCGGUUUUGCUCCUUGCCAACUUACCGAGUUUAUCCGUCCUGUUGACCUUAAACUGAAAGUGCCGGUCGUUUUACCGGCAAAAUGGGUUUCUUUGGGAGGAGCAGAGACUUGCCGUCCGGGACAAGCCAGCUCCGGCCACAUCGCGGACGAGAAAGGAAGGAGAGGAACAGCAUGUCGUGGGGAAGGAGGAGGAAGCGGGGGGCGCUGUUCCGACGGGAAGUCCGCCGGAGAGAAGCAGGCUUCGGGGUGACGGCGGCUCGCCCCCCUGAGCUGCAGGGAGCGUGGAGUUCCUGGAGGAGCGGACACCUGCGUCCUCCGCUCCGGGGCCUGCGACUGAUGGGUGUCUGCUGUGGAGGCUUC
ensembl:lncRNA